rnacentral:rRNA from 1 species
GAUGAACGCUGGCGGCGUGCCUAAUACAUGCAAGUCGAGCGAACAGACGAGGAGCUUGCUCCUCUGACGUUAGCGGCGGACGGGUGAGUAACACGUGUAUAACCUACCUAUCAGACUGGGAUAACUUCGGGAAACCGGAGCUAAUACCGGAUAAUAUAUUGAACCGCAUGGUUCAAUAGUGAAAGACGGUUUUGCUGUCACUUAUAGAUGGAUCCGCGCCGCAUUAGCUAGUUGGUAAGGUAAAGGCUUACCAAGGCAACGAUGCGUAGCCGACCUGAGAGGGUGAUCGGCCACACGGGAACUGAGACGCGGUCCAGACUCCUAAGGGAGGCAGCAGUAGGGAAUCUUCCGCAAUGGGCGAAAGCCUGACGGAGCAACGCCGCGUGAGUGAUGAAGGUCUUCGGAGCGUAAAACUCUGUUAUUAGGGAAGAACAAAUGUGUAAGUAACUAUGCACGUCUUGACGGUACCUAAUCAGAAAGCAACGGCUAACUACGUG